rnacentral:rRNA from 1 species
GACGAACGCUGGCGGCGUGCUUAUAAGAUGCCAGUCGAACGGAAAGGCCCUGCUUUUGUGGGUUGCUCGAGUGGCGAACGGGUGUGUAACUCUUGAUUAACCUGCCCUUGACUUUGGGAUAACUUCAGGAACCUUUUGCUAAUACCGGAUAGGAGCUGCUGCUGAAAGGCGGGUGUUGGAACUUUGCGGCGGGUGGGGAUGGUAUCGCGACUUAUCAGCUAGUUGGUGGGGUAGUUCCUUACCAAGCAUUAUACGGCUAACCGGCCCGAGAGUGUGACAGGAAAAACUGGGACUGAGCUACGGCCCAGACUCCUACGGGAGGCAGCAGUGGCGAAUAGUGCACGAUGGGCGGAUGACUGAUUCAGGAACGCCGCGAGCGGGAAGACGGACUUCGGGUUGGAAACCGCUUUCGGCUGUGAAGAUGCGCGAGUGGAGGUAACGGAUAAAGAAGAACCGGCUAACUACCUA